rnacentral:rRNA from 1 species
AGUGAACGCUGGCGGUAGGCCUAACACAUGCAAGUCGAACGGCAGCACAGUAAGAGCUUGCUCUUACGGGUGGCGAGUGGCGGACGGGUGAGGAAUACAUCGGAAUCUACUUUUUCGUGGGGGAUAACGUAGGGAAACUUACGCUAAUACCGCAUACGACCUACGGGUGAAAGCAGGGGAUCUUCGGACCUUGCGCGGUUGAAUGAGCCGAUGUCGGAUUAGCUAGUUGGCGGGGUAAAGGCCCACCAAGGCGACGAUCCGUAGCUGGUCUGAGAGGAUGAUCAGCCACACUGGAACUGAGACACGGUCCAGACUCCUACGGGAGGCAGCAGUGGGGAAUAUUGGACAAUGGGCGCAAGCCUGAUCCAGCCAUACCGCGUGGGUGAAGAAGGCCUUCGGGUUGUAAAGCCCUUUUGUUGGGAAAGAAAAGCAGCAGGUUAAUACCCCGCUAUUCUGACGGUACCCAAAGAAUAAGCACCGGCUAACUUCGUG